AAAUUGAAGAGUUUGAUCAUGGCUCAGAUUGAACGCUGGCGGCAGGCCUAACACAUGCAAGUCGAGCGGUAGCACAGAGAGCUUGCUCUCGGGUGACGAGCGGCGGACGGGUGAGUAAUGUCUGGGAAACUGCCUGAUGGAGGGGGAUAACUACUGGAAACGGUAGCUAAUACCGCAUAACGUCGCAAGACCAAAGUGGGGGACCUUCGGGCCUCAUGCCAUCAGAUGUGCCCAGAUGGGAUUAGCUAGUAGGUGGGGUAACGGCUCACCUAGGCGACGAUCC
rnacentral:rRNA from 1 species